AACCUUUACAAUGCACGCAAGUGUGAUAGGGGAAUCCAAAGUGCUUAUGCAUAGCAUAGGCUUUUGCUAAGAGAAAAUAUCUUGGCGAAUAAGUGGUGGGUAAGGCUGGUGCCAGCAGCCGCGGUAACACCAGCGCCACGAGUGGCAAUCAUAAUUAUUGGGCCUAAAGCGUUCGUAGCCGGCUUGGUAAAUCUUUUGUGAAAUUGUUGUGCUUAACGCAACAACGUGCAGGAGAGACUGCCAAGCUAGGAACCGGGAAGAGUCAGAGGUAUUCUGGGGGGAGCGGUAAAAUGUUAUAAUCCCUGGAGGACCGCCAGUGGCGAAGGCGUCUGACUAGAACGGCUUCGACGGUGAGGAACGAAAGCUAGGGGAGCAAUCCGGAUUAGAUACCCGAGUAGUCCUAGCCGUAAACUCUGCGAGCAAGGUGUUGCAUAUCCUUCUUGGAUCUGCAGUGUCGAAAUGAAGAUGUUAAGCUCGCCGCCUGGAAGUAUAGUCGCAAGACC
rnacentral:rRNA from 1 species